rnacentral:rRNA from 1 species
CCCUUAGAUGUCCGGGGCCGCACGCGCGCUACACUGAGUGUCUGAGAUACGAGUCUGCCUGGUCCGGCAAGGUCUAGGUAAUCGCUAAAAGACACAUCAUGCUUGGGAUAGAUUAUUGCAAAUAUUAAUCUUGAACGAGGAAUUCCUAGUAAGCGCAAGUCAACAGCUUGCGUUGAUUACGUCCCUGCCCUUUGUACACACCGCCCGUCGCUACUACUGAUUGGAUGUUUAAGCGAGGUUCUCGAACUGCUAGCGACUUAGCUUCGGUGAGGUCGCAGUGUGGGAAGUGAACCUAGCUUUGGUGUCUAGAGGAAGUAAAAGUCGUAACA